UGUCGAACAGCCAAAAUAAUAGACAAUAAGCUAAGUUAACAACACAAAUGUAAACUAAUACUUGAAUGGACCUCAUCAUCAAAGCAUAAAUCCAUUUUCUGGCUUUUUCAAAAAAAGAAUUUUUCCAUGAAGAAGCCAGAGGAAGUAGAGCUCUUUUACAAAGUAGUGUUAUCAUGAUGAUUAAUCAUGGGAAACAAAAAUUAGUAACAGGUUUCAUUCCAAACUAAUCUGAAUUAACCUGGAACCAAACCCUUCCACCAGUUUUUGCUAAAUUACUUCUGCCGCUUAACAGUAUACUUGCCAAGGGCUCUUACCCUUUAGUCCCCACUGUCUUUCGCCAUACCAAUUUUCCACAUCUUGAUAUGUAAGAGCACAUAAAUCCAAAAGUUCCCAGGCACCAAAAGCUCCUAACCAACUGGUUCCGCCAUAACACAAUGGAAAUCUAUGGUUCCAUGCACAAAGAUCCAUAAGCUUCCGUCAAAAAAAAAAAAAACUACCCGAAGAAGCUUCUGCUCUUCCAUUUAGCUUUCCAAUGAAAUUCAAGUAUCACAACAGUGUGCUCAAGUUUACACAAAGCCCUCAAAAACAGAAGUUUCCACCCUUGAAGAUUUUCCAGACAACCUCUCAUAUUUUCCUUUGGUGAAU